AUAUCCAAUAUAUCCUGGUAAACGUCCAGCAAAGCGUUCGAUGAGCUGAGAUUACAAAGCUAUGAAACAUUAAAUUCUGUUAUUAAUUAGAAAAUACAUUGUUCAGAUACACACGCUAUGGCACAAAAUGUCUCUCGCUGGACAUGGAAAGGCUCCCAUUAAAUGAUUAUCCUCACUUAGAUACCAAAAACCAACAAUGCAGCCUUGAAGGUAAUGACCCCAAAAACCAAGAAAGUAUAGAAGUAGGUGGUAUCUCCAAUGAAUUCCAAAAAUGCAUUAAGAUACCACGGCAUAAAAAGAAGUGAUGUGCAUAUAUUACUAGUUUACUAUAGUAGUGAUAGGUUUAAAUUCCUGUAAGAAAAUCACGAACCAGAGAGACUAAACGAAACAGAAUCUCAUCAAAGUAGAUGCCCCAGCUAUAUACGUAGAGCAUGUAUUCCAACAAAUGUGCAAAAUACAAAUCCAAUAUGCAAAUAAAAAAUGCAUAAUCAUCAAAAUAAAGAAAGAAUGAAGCACAACUUUGACAGACUUGGAUGAAGAACUUCAAAAUUAACAAAUAUCACCUAGCAAACCAUUCCCACUUUGUUAAAAGCGUUUCUCCUGGCCAAACAAAAUACAUGACUAGGACAACAACAGAGCCAGACAACAGUGAUUUUCAAUACCAUUACGGCAAUACAAUUACCAAUUUCUAACCUAAAUCAAUAUCAUCUAUCAUAUAUCAUAAACCAUCUAAGGAAAACCAAACAAGAAAAGAAUACAUCUAACCUCAAUUGACAUAUAUAUAUAUAUAUAUUCACCAGUCUCAAUAGCUACAAGCUACGACUAUGAUUUCAACAAUCAAAUAAAAAUUUAAAAUUCAAUGCGUAAG